GUGUCAGCCGCCGCGGUAACACGGGGGGAGCAAGCGUUGUCCGGAUUUACUGGGCGUGAAGCGCGCGUAGGCGGUCCAUUAAGUCGGCUGUGAAAGCGCUGGGCUCAACCCAGCAAGGUCAGUCGAUACUGGUGGACUCGAGUCCGGGAGAGGGAAGCGGAAUUGCUGGUGUAGCGGUGGAAUGCGUAGAUAUCAGCAAGAACACCGGUGGCGAAGGCGGCUUCCUGGACCGGCACUGACGCUGAGGCGCGAAAGCUAGGGGAGCGAACCGGAUUAGAUACCCGGGUAGUCCUAGCUGUAAACGAUGGUCACUAGGUGUUGGGGGUAUCGGCCCCCCCAGUGCCGCAGCUAACGCAUUAAGUGACCCGCCUGGGGAGUACGGCCGCAAGGCUGAAACUCAAAGGAAUUGACGGGG
rnacentral:rRNA from 1 species